AACGAACGCUGGCGGCGCGCCUAACACAUGCAAGUCGAACGAGAAGGCGUAGCAAUACGCUUGUACAGUGGCGAACGGGUGAGGAACACGUGGGUAACCUACCCUCGAGUGGGGAAUAACCAACCGAAAGGUUGGCUAAUGCCGCGUAAGCUUCCAUCUCUUCGGAGGUGGAAGGAAAGCUGUACCGUGGGUACAGCGCUCAAGGAUGGGCUCACGUCCUAUCAGCUUGUUGGUAGGGAACGGCCUACCAAGGCAACGACGGGUAGCUGGUCUGAGAGAACGAUCAGCCACGCUGGCACUGCGACACGGGCCAGACUCCUACGGGAGGCAGCAGUGAGGAAUAUUGCGCAAUGGGCGAAAGCCUGACGCAGCGACGCCGCGUGGGGGAUGAAGGUCUUCGGAUU
rnacentral:rRNA from 1 species